rnacentral:rRNA from 1 species
AUAGCGUAUAUUAAAGUUGUUGCAGUUAAAAAGCUCGUAGUUGAAUUUCGGAGGAGAGUUCCUGGUCUGGGUUCGCCUUGUACUGGGAGGCUCGAAUCUUUUUUCUGGGGAAGCGGGGUGUCCUUUACUGGGCGCCUCGGGGAACCAGGACGAUUACCUUGAGAAAAAUAGAGUGUUCAAAGCAGGCUUUUGCUUGAAUACGUUAGCAUGGAAUAAUAAAAUAGGACUUUGGUUCUAUUUUGUUGGUUUUAAGGACCAAUGUCAUGAUGAAUAGGGACAGUUGGGGGCAUUCGUAUUCCGAAGCUAGAGGUGAAAUUCUUGGAUUUUCGGAAGACGAACUACUG